AUAUUAAUUUAUAGUAAUUUAAUAACAAGUGUAACAAAUAAUAAAACAUAUUUUUAAUAGAAAUUUUAAUAAGCCCCAGUUGAUAUUUAAAACUGUGUUUGGUUCGGGUAUAUAAGUAAAAACUGCUUAUAUCAGGAAUAGAUACAAGUUCAGAUAUAAGCAGAAACUAGAUUAAUUUUGCGUUUGGAUAAAAAUUGGGUUGUUAUUAGGAAUAAGAUAAAUAUUGUUUGGAUGGUUAGAUCGAAACAUGAGGAAUACGAAUUAUAAUUUUAAAUUAAAAUUAUUUUAUCUAAUUAAUUAAUAUCAAGCUACUUAAUUAUAAGUAAUAAAUUAGUUAAUUACUUUAUUAUUUAAGUUAUGAAUAAUGAGUUAAAUAUAUUAAUUAAAUUAACUAAUAAUUUAAUAUCAUAAUUAAAAUUAAAUUUAGGCUUUAAUUAACUUUGUUCUCACUUGAGAAUAAGCUUAUUUUAGAGCAAAUGGUAGAACAGCAGUUUCAGGUAUAAAUACCUACUUAUUCCAGGGAUCCGAGAAAUACUAU
rnacentral:lncRNA from 1 species